AGCGAACGCUGGCGGCAGGCCUAACACAUGCAAGUCGAGCGCCCCGCAAGGGGAGCGGCAGACGGGAGAGUAACACAUGGGAACCUACCUUUUGGUCCGGAACAACUGAGGGAAACUUAAGCUAAUACCGGAUAAGCCCUUACGGGGAAAGAUUUAUCGCCGAAAGAUUGGCCGGCGUCUGAUUAGCUAGUUGGUGAGGUAACGGCUUACCAAGGCGACGAUCAGUAGCUGGUCUGAGAGGAUGAUCAGCCUCAUUGGGAAUGAGACACGGCCGAAACUCCUAGGGGAGGGAGGAGUGGGGAAUAUUGGACAAGGGGCGCAAGCCUGAUCCGGCCAUGCCGCGUGAGUGAUGAAGGCCUUAGGGUUGUAAAGCUCUUUUGCCCCGGAAGGUAAUGACGGUACCGGGAGAAUAAGCCCCGGCUAACUUCGUGCCAGCCGCCGCCGUAAAAC
rnacentral:rRNA from 1 species